rnacentral:lncRNA from 1 species
CUAAAUUCAAAUGAGUUGACACUUUUCAACUCAAACCCUUAAAAUUGGACAUUUUUGAAAAUACCUCAAAAAAAAAAAUAGAAUCCUUUACCCUUUGCCUCCCAUAUCCAUUGCCCCCACUCCUUGCAGAAGAAUCAGAUUACAAAAAAUUGAAUUGCUGCCAUUCACGCCUCUACCCAUUAAUCUAUUCUUCACUCUGGAUUCUUCUCUCUUUUUUAUUCUAUACUAUAGUAUAUGGUCUGGUGGUUCAUAUCUGUUGGGUUAAGGAGCUUCUGCAAUCAAGGGAGGAAGAUGUCAUAUCAGAUAUGAUAUUGACAGAUUACUCUGAUUGGAAAUGGAUGAGAAGAUAGGAAGAAAGGUUUUGGAUGUUUUAAAGAUUGUUGAGGAAGCGUUUUCUAUACAGGAGUAUUGAGGGAGCUCAUUAAGCUUAUUAAGGUUCUUAUCUUCUCUUUCUCAAUUUCCUUUUACCAAUGACCAAAUUUUAUUUUUUAUGAAUAGAUCUACAAGGAACCAUGAAGCUAUUGCAAUGUCUUUCCUUGUAGCAAAUGCAAUUGGUGCUCAUAUCAAUGACCAUUGACUUUCUGUUGCCAUUCAUAUUAGCAUCAUUUGCUGCAAAUUUUCACUUUCACGGUUUUUGAAUACUUUGUUUCUUGAAGUUAAUGUCAGCAAUCUUCGACCAAAUCUAUAAGGACCAACUAGAAGAGAAUAGGGAUCUAUUAGCUACCGAAGUAUAGAGGCAUUUUGUUCUUGAGACUAGCUUCAAAUUUAAAUUGUGCAAUUGGGACUUUGUCUUGUCAAAUUUCUGUAGGCAAUAGGUAGUGAUUGUUCAUUCUUUUUUUUUUUUUUUUUUUUGGUUUUGUAUUAUAAUAUCUGUGGAAGAGGCGAUUAACUAGGACCAAUGAAUCUGUAUCAAAUCUAAUUUUUGGAUUGGUAAAUGAAUGGGCCACUUGCUUCUUGGAUGAUCUUGAUUAUUUAGUGAGGGAGAAAAUGGAACUUGAAAUUAAGGAAUGUUUACAUUAUUCUAUUGGAUUUCAGCUUUUUAAAACUUUAAUAUAUGAAGUUUUCAAGGAAAUAUUUAUUAAAAUAAAAUCAUAUUUUUUAAAUAUUUUAAUUCAAAUUAGGGAUGAAAAUCCAUUGGAAUCAUCAACGGACAGAAUCUAUAGGUAAUUUGCGAUGGAAAAUUUUGUUGCUAAUUAGUGACAGAAAUAGCCGUUGGUAAACACCGACGGCUUCUUCCAUCGCUAAAUUACCGAUGACCUAGGUAAUUUGUUGCUAAAAUUAGCGGCAAGGGUAUUACCGAUGGAUUUUCCAACCGAAAGUUUUCAUUUUUGAAAGUCGUUAGCGAGGGAAUUUAAGGCAUUCGCGACGGAAAUUUCCGUAUCUGAAGCCCCAUUUUUUUGUAGUGCCAUUAUUUUCAAGCACAAGACUAAUGCGAAAUAUCAACAAUCUUAAGAAUGGAAAAAAGUCUUAAAAGCUGCUAUUCUUUAAAGUUUCUGGAGACGAGCAAGCCCCGAGAAAUUGGAGGGAAUAGAUCCGUUAAGCCGAUUCUUUGAUAGAUUACUGGAAAAUUAUCGUACAAUGAAGAUAUGUAUUAGCACAAACUGCUAUAAUAUCUCUAAUGGCAACAUCCAGAAUGUUACUUACAUGGUUGUGAUAUUGCUAGAGUCUGUUUAUUGGUAUGUUUUCAGUAAGUUGAUUCUUGCUAAGAUCUCUGUAACAGGAGGAGAUCAAUUAUUUUCAAGAACAAAGCAGGUUGGGUUUAUUUUUCCAUCAAUGCAAGACUUGUACUGAUAUAAUGUCACUUUGCUCUUCAACUUCAUAGAAAGGCCAUGCCCCCCCCGGGGCCCCCAACCCCAAUUGAAAAAGGUUGCUAGGUUAACAAUAUCAACCUUAUGGGAAGCACACUUCAAAUUAAACAAAGACAAUUAAAUUAAAUUCGUAUAAAUUGCACACCAGCUUAUUUCGCCAAAUCUGCAUCCAUGAUGGGUUGAUUUUAUCAACCUUAUAUGCUAUACUAAAAAAUUCAAUAUACUUGAUUGUGAAUAUGUCGCAGUAGCCCUGCAAAUGAACAAUAAUGUGUUAGUUCAACUUUGUGUACAUAAAAACUAAUUUAUAAAUUUUUUAAAAAAAUUUUAAAAAAACUUUUGAUAUGGAUUGUCUCACUGUCGUGGACAGCCGAGCCCUCUUUGCUAGCCAUCAGAGGAACAAUCACAGCUAGUGGCUCUAAGUUCAGCUCAAGCUAUCCUUGUAAAAACCAUGAAUGAUCGAGUUUGUACACAUAUAUCGUCGAGUCGGAAAAUACGAUCUCAAGAACAAUACAAUGAUGAUUUGCGAUUACUGGAAUGUACAUAUGCAUACAACCCUCCCAUGGCUUUCCCCCAACACUUGACGACAGCUCGAUCACCCACUCGAGCAUAUACUCGUUAUCCAUAAGUUGAAGCGACUGAUACUCAACAGUAACGGUACGGAAGAAUUCGGUGUUCAGUAUUAUUCGCCUAGGAAUGUGAAACGAUCUUGGAUAUCUAUCGACUCGAUCGUACAACAAGUCCAUGUCCAGGUUGAUAUGCUACAUCAAGGAAAAAAGAGGAAGUUAUUUCAUUUAAUAAACCAAACAUUAUGUAUGAAAAAACUAACAAUAUCACUACUUCACUUACAUCAUCAACGAGCUAAGCCUCAUGAGUGGUGAUAUCAUGGAACCACUUGUAGGCGUCCAAUAUUGUCCUUCUAGCUAUCAUGAGACUAGCUCUAAAAAAAGAAAAUAGAGAAAAUAUUAAACAAAGCUUAUACGAGUUAGCGUAGUCUACCAAAAUCAUACAAUACUUACUAGGGAAAAAUUCUUCGCUACUCCGUCUCGAAUGCUUUCCAUUUGGUAUGGUCGACCUCCCGGAACAAAUUGGGAUACUCUUCUUUGGUAAACCUCCUCCUCUAUACCUAGCCAUGAAGGGGAGAUGACGUACUGUGAAGGCACUCUCGGCCUCUCGUCGACCACCAGCUCUGGUACAUCAAUUAGGCAGUAAAAGCUUUGAAUUUUGAUGUGAAAUUGGCCGGUGAGAAAAGAUUGCUCCAAUUGAAUGAACUGGAUGAAGUCCGCCUUGACUCUUAUGAGAAUGCUCAAAUUUACAAAGAAAAGAUAAAGAAAUGGCAUGAUAAACACAUUGUGAAACGCGAGUUCUUUGUUGGGCAACAAGUUCUUCUCUACAAUUCUCAACUCCGAUUGUUUCUCGGAAAGCUCCGCUCGAGAUGGUCUGGUCCUUUUACCAUUGCUAAGAUUUUUUCACACGGAGCAAUUGAAUUUCAUCAUGAGGAAAAGGGAAACUUCAAGGUUAACGGGCAAUGAUAAAAACUAUUAUUUGGAGGUGAUUUUUCUAAGGAGAAGUUCUCCAUUCCUCUUGCCAAUUUGGAGUGAACAAGGCCUAUAGUCAAGCUAGGGACUAUAACCAAGCGCUUGUUGGGAGGCAACCCAACUUUCUUAUCCUUACACUUUUGUUUAUGUUACUUGUGAUUAAUACUUUUGUCAUUACAUUUUGAAUUAAUACAAUUCUUUUGUAGGUCAAAAUUUUUGAAGUCCUAGCCACCCAUAGAUCUCAACAAGUUUGGGGGUGCAUGGUCCACUAAGUCAUAAACCAAAAAUUCAUCUACAACAUCUUUCAACAAACACCUAAUCAGGGAAGUUUCGUCAAUCCUCUCUCCUUAUUUUGUAUUUAUGCACACAUUGAGGACAAUGUGUAAGUUAAGUUUGGGGGUGUUAAUUGUUGAUUGGAUAUUGUGCCUAUUUAUCGUGCUUAUAUUGGUGUUGAUAGUGACAUAUUGGAUAGCCUUGUUGGCUUUUGAUGAUUUGAUGUGAUGUUUAAAAUUGUUAUUAAUUCAUAAGUUAUGUCCAAUCAUGCUAUUUGUUUCGAUCUUGAAAAUUUGCUUGUGCAUGUGAGAUGUUAUACCACUUUGAGCACAAUAGUCACAACUGGUUAUUGUCUAGAUGUGGAAAUGAUUGAUUGAUGGAAAAUUUUUGAAUUGGAAGAACUAGGUUAUGAGUUACACAUAAACUUCUAUCAUACUCUCAAUAACUCCACCAUUUUGUGAAUUAAGUUUGGGGGUGGUCGAGCCAGUGAAGGAUAUUAUCUAGAAGUGUGUUGAUUCCAUGCAUGUUGAAAAUAUUUGUGUGGAGUAUCUUUUGCCAAGCAUAAACUAGGUAAUGACCAUAUGCUGGGGAUCUAAGUCCUAUGUGUUGAUUUAUGCUUAAAAAGAAUGUUAUUGUACUUGUUGAAUCUUGGGCCUCACUUCGUAGCCUUUUUUUACUCGAGUUAUUAAGUUCGUAAGGGUAUUUUGAAACCCGGUACCCUUUGGCCUAAACAACCAGGGAGUUAUUGACCUAAAGCUCAUUACAAGGGUCAAUAAGAAAGUUUAAGGGAGUGAGGUAAAACAUGGCAUUCAGCUAAAAAAAAAAAGUUGAAAAAAAAAAAGAAGAGAAAAAAAUUUGUUAUUCAUAUUUGAGCUUAGAUAACUAGUGGGUUUGAAUUGCUUAGUAUAAACUUGAAUGUGGAAGCACUCAUUGGUGGAGAAUCAUCACAUGCCUAGAUGUUGCAAUUGCCGGUUAGACUCAACCAAACUAGAGCAGAAAAAGAAAUGAGUGAUUGAGAGCAACCCUUAGAUUUACACCACGGGAAGUACAAUAAUAUCUAUUUUAGUGUGAAUCUCACGAGUGGGGAAAGGAAAUAUUUGACCACAAAGGCUCGGGUUGGAGCCAAUUUGAAGAUUUUUCCAUCUUGACAACUUUUUCCUAAUUCAGAUAAUCAUUAAAAGUGAUGUUGCACACAUACGCCGAUCAAACAUUAGAUAAGCUUAAAUUAUUUUUGCUAGCAUUAUUUGGAGCAUAUUUGUGAAUUGAUUAUACAAUUUUACACUCAUUGAUAUUUUUGGCAAGCUUUUUAGUGUGUUGACCGUUAUCACGUCUGCUUAAUUGUGUGGUAGAUAAUCUUGAUCGGGACGAGAAAGAGCUUAAGUUUGGGUGUGUGAUAAGUGUGUUUUUACACACUUAUUGGGCACUUAAUUUGAUACAAUUAUUGAUUAAAAGAAUGGAACUCUACUCACAAUUAAGUAUUAUUUGCUUUUGUAGGCUACAAAUUACUCAAGUAAAGAGAACAGGGCAAAAGGAGGAAAAAUGAGGAAAAAAAUACUAAAAUUGUACAAAAUUGUGAAGUUGGAGGACAAGGCAAAAAAUUCAAAAAGUGGAGGAAUUGUGAUGAAAUUUAUGGAGGGCAAAAGUGAAAUGAAAGUCAAAAUUCAAGGACCAAAUUGUACAAGAUCAAAAGUUGAGAGACUUGGCUACAGAUUACACAAAAUUAACUUUUGUAGCUGCUGAAACAGAGACCCAGGCGCUGCAACACCAUUGUUCUGGCACUACAGCGCCAAUUUGUAAUUAAAAAGGAAAUUGGGGACCUUUUUGCUAACUUUCCAAAAGCCCAGGGACCAAAGCUGCAACUUUCCUUAGGUUUUAAUAUAAAAACCAGCAGCUGAGCAGUUUUUGAGAGAGCUUCAUUUUUCUGGGUUCCGUCUUCUGCUGGUUCUUUCUUUUUAUUUUGUUUUCAUUUUGUUUUGUUUUCUUUUUUCUUUUCCUUUUACUUGGUAUUUUGGAGAACAAAUCAUAGAGCACAAGGAGGUACCAAAGGAUUUGGCAAGGAUUUUGGGAAAAUCAAGAUUAAGCUUUAAAAAAAGGGGUUUUAUCUAUACUUUGUAUUUUGCUCAAUUAUUUUGCCAAAUUUGCAAUGUCAUGUAUUAAUAUUCUCCUUUGUUGUCAUUUAUUUAACAUGGGCUAAUUUAUUGAGUUGGGA